GCCCUCGUAGUGAAACGGAUAUCAUACCGGUCUUCGGAACCGUCGUUGCAGGUUCGAAUCCUGCCGAGGGCACCA
rnacentral:tRNA from 1 species